rnacentral:lncRNA from 1 species
AAAAACUAAAACUAUUCAUAACAACCAAACCCCAUAUAUUUUAUAGAGUAUCAUUCGCAUCUUUAUGCUUUUUUCAAAACAAUUACCAAACCGAUCUUCAAAGGUCUUGUUAUCGAAUCAUUUAUUUACUUCUCUUGGCUUUUCUUAACUUUAUAAUUCUUUUUUUUUUCUUUAAAAAAGAGAGUUUCAUGGUCAAACAUUCUCCGGUGAAUCCAAAAUGUGAAAUUGGAGGGGUAAAAUAGUCAAGAAUGUGAGUUUCUCCAUUGCUUCCUCUCUCGGCCUUUUUAAAUACGCGGUCUUGUUUUGUUUAGACUCGGAACUCUCUUUGACUAAACUACCCCACCCUUUUCCAUCAUUUUCUAAUACAGAGUUACACACACACACACAUUGCUUCUUCUUUUUAAAAUUAUUCUUUCUGUCUUUUUUUUUUUUUUUUUUGGGUUUAGUAAAACAUCGCCAACUAUGUUCAUAAUGCAACUCGCAAAACUCUCUAUACCAAGAUAAAAUAUAACUAUGGUUGAUGAUUUAAAUUCCUUGUUGACCCAAAACAAAGAGAGAAUAACAAUCACAUAAAUCGGUAAUUAAUUUUGAUCUUUAGUAAAUAAAUACUCACUCCUUUUGGAAAAUAUCCGUAAGAAUUUCUAAUUCACCUGGUUUGGAAUCUUGGAU